GUUUAUAUAGAUAUUUAUAUGUUUAGUUUUUUUGUAUUAUAUCAGUAAGGAGAUUUUUUUUGACGUAUGCGCGGCAUAGCGAUCGCUCUCUUUACUGCAGCUAAAACUCGGUCAAGGCAUUCGGGGUCAGUGUUACGGGGUAUUUCAGGUUACAACGCAUUUUUUUUUUUUGUCGGGGAUGUAGUAAAACGGCAUGCCACCAACCUGAAGAAGGCCUGUCCGAGUAUCGGGUGCAGUAGACCCAGGCUGGCCACAGCAUGGGCUGCGACAUGGAUGGGUUCGAGCUGGCUUGGGAACUGUCUGAAUCUGAGCUUAGGCACUGGUCUCCGUUCUCCCCACCGGGUUUUGGGGACUCAUCUGUAGCUUUCGCGGGCUUCUUGGUGCUGGUGACAGUGUGUGGAGUGGAGGUCCCCUCCGCCGGCACCGUGCUGCCCACUGGUUCGGUCUGAGGGGCGGCGGGGCUGCCGCGGCUCUCCCGCGACGCCUGGAUGCUCUCCUCUCGGUGCGCGCCCGCAUCCUUCUUCCGUCCGAAGUCCGGUCGCAGGAUGUUGUCGAUGAAGAAAUUGGUGACCCGAUGCGGGAUCUGCGGGUUCCCCGGCGCCUGUAACAGGGGCAGGAUAGCUCUGUUGGAUUCAUCCGCUGAAUCCUGCCGCUCCACCGCAUCUCUAUUGCCGUGAUCAUUUUCUUCCAUACUGAUUCACUUUCCCCCGCUUUACGCUCUUUAACCCCUUUGUCGCUCCCUCCACAGCAAGAAAUUUUGAGAACUUUGAGGGAAAUUACCCCCACCCCUAAAAAAACUGUCCGGGUAAAAUAAAUAAAUAAAACAACUCAAAUACCAGUGAGUGCCUUGGACACCACGCAAAGUCUUGCCGUAGUGCCCUUUGAGAAAAGCAUAAUUUAGCUCAUAUAUUUCCUGAAAAUCGGGUUAUAAGUGAUAUCUCAGAGCGUAAGCGUUUGCCAUUUGCGCACAAAUCCAAUUUAUACCAUCCGAUUUAUGCGUCCCAGGGAAUGCCUACAUCUAAACUAAACUAAGGGUAAAUAAAGAGGCUCCUAAACUGAUGCUCUAAUACUCUCACUCUGGAGUUUUGUUCUUAUUUUCAAUGCGAGCCCCCCGAGUGACGUUCACCCACCGUCCUCCCAGACACGUGCCCCUGACCAAUAGAAAGGUAGAAACCAGGCCACGUGACGCAGAAUCCGGAGCGAUCUACAAACGCCCCAUCCUCGCCCUAGUAAAAGGGGAAGAGUCCCGAACGUGUACGAGGAGGAAAGCCUAAUUUGAAUCCGGUGCAUGCACACAGAUACACCCAGUUUUCGUGACAUGUUUUUACUUUAUUUUGCCACAGGAGUUUGAAAAAAAUGUGAGCUGGUUUGUGGGUAGAAAAACAAAAACAACGAGAGGAUUGACGCGUUGGUUUAGGAUAAAAAAAAAAAAAAUAGCGAGCAUGCAGGAUCCCCAGGGUUCAACACUCCCAAUAACACCAGAGGAAGUCAGAUUUCAAUGAGCUUAAAUAAGCUCCAGCAUAUAUUUGAAUGAGGAAGUUUAAUUAUGAUAACUUUUUGUGAUGAAAAACAAAAAUAUUCAUCAACUGAUUAAAUCCUGAAGAUCUACCUAAUAAAAAUGCUACCAAUAACCUAUUUGGAGGGAAGUGCAGCAUAUUUUGAUGAACAAAUGAUUUGCUUUUUGUUGAAUUUGGACCCUCUUUCAACAGUUUUGACACAUUUAAGUUACCUUUACUUUUAAAAGGUAGUAUGCUUUAAAAAGCGCACUGAGGUUAUGCGUAAAAAACUAUAUUUGGGGAUGGAACAGACUUAUUAUUCUUUGCACAUUACAUUGAAUUUACCAAAUUAUAUAAUUUAAUGACUUUUUUUUUAAUUUCCCUAUAAAAUAGCACGUGCUCACCCCAUGAUAUGUAGUUUAGACGCUUCAUAAUCAGAGCGAUGUGACCAAGAAUUGAUGUGCUAUUAGAUGCGUUCUCCUGUCGCGCAGCCUGCGGUGGCCCCAGAACUGGGUCCAUAUCCCUUUAAAAGAAAUCAGUGAUGCAAACAAACUGUUUUGUGCGCGCUGCUCGGGACCCGAAGUCGCGCCAAAGACAAAACUUUGAGUAACUUUACUGACCACCUCCAAAGACGAGUUUUCUGAGGUUACUCCAUCAGGCAGCGAGGACGGCGAUUUGGAUUCGGGUCUGUUCACACAAGGAGGGAUCCACUGAAAGAGCGGCGUGGAGAUUCCUAGAAUCGGUCGACUUCAGAACAGAUAAUGUGAUGGAUCUUGAUUCAUUCCAUUACCUUUCAGCGCUAUCGCCCUGGUUGAUUUUUACACAGUCUGAUCUGAGCUGUAAGAUGCAGUAGAACGAAGAGGAGGAUAGCAACACAGAUUUGGCUGAGCAUGCUGACUGAACUAAUUGAUCCUCCACUCCCCCAUGAUCAUCACAACAGUGACUGUUGUUUAUCCUUCUAAAGUUGAUUCUGUUUUUGAUUUUGUGUUUGUUUACUUUUGAGUGAUUUACGGUGAAGCAUAGCAGAAAAAGUGAGAACCAUGGUCAGUAAAGUGCAUUAUUGGAAAGAAGGUGUGAACUGAUCAUUUACCCUGCAGCAGGGGUGCCUAGCAAAGGCAAAGAGCAGCCAGAGACUGCCAUUUGAAUGGGAUCUGAGAGGUAAUUUGAUCUAAAAUGGACUCCAGCCAUUCAACCCCCCACCCCGCCCACCCCUCCCAUGGCAUCCACUGUAAUUCAUUAUUCCUGGCCAGCAGAGGCAAUGAGCGAGGGCAAAGGAGAGGAGUUGGACUCUGCUCUGGUGUAAUGAAGACUCAGUAGACCUAAACGCCCUCCUUCCUUCUCUCCCUUUCUCCCUCUAUCACUUAUACAUACACGCAAUCUUUCAUUAUCUAUUAGAUAGAGCAACGCAUUAUUGCUGCUGAAGACCUUUUGGCAGAGAAAUAAGAAUGUGCAAGGAUUUUCUUCAUCCUGAAUCCAUUUUAUUGACCUUUUCCAUCAUGUAUGGGGCUCGGCAUGUGCUCUGCAAUGCAAAGAAAAUAUUCUAACCACAAUAUUUCUGUCACCCCUUUGUAAUGCUUUUAUUUAAACGCAAAAAUGUAUUUUUGUCAUGCUAAAUUGAAGAUGUAUAUGGAUUUUUUAAGUUUUCAAUUCAAGUUUGUCACUCUCACAAGCAUUGAGGAGUUUGUUUUCUUACAUCAUAGAUGAAGAAACACUCCUUGCAUG